UGGGGAAUAUUGCACAAUGGGCGAAAGCCUGAUGCAGCAACGCCGCGUGAGUGAUGAAGGCCUUCGGGUUGUAAAGCUCUGUCUUUUGGGACGAUAAUGACGGUACCAAAGGAGGAAGCCACGGCUAACUACGUGCCAGCAGCCGCGGUAAUACGUAGGUGGCAAGCGUUGUCCGGAUUUACUGGGCGUAAAGGAUGCGUAGGCGGAUUUUUAAGUGAGAUGUGAAAUACCCGGGCUUAACUUGGGCGCUGCAUUUCAAACUGGGAAUCUAGAGUGCGGGAGAGGAGAAUGGAAUUCCUAGUGUAGCGGUGAAAUGCGUAGAGAUUAGGAAGAACACCAGUGGCGAAGGCGAUUCUCUGGACCGUAACUGACGCUGAGGCAUGAAAGCGUGGGUAGCAAACAGGAUUAGAUACCCUGGUAGUCCACGCCGUAAACGAUGAGUACUAGGUGUAGGAGGUAUCGACCCCUUCUGUGCCGCAGUUAACACAAUAAGUACUCCGCCUGGGAAGUACGAUCGCAAGAUUAAAACUCAAAGGAAUUGACGGGGUCAUAGCUGUUUUCCU
rnacentral:rRNA from 1 species